UGCUGAAUACUCUUGGCAGGGUCCCGG
rnacentral:piRNA from 1 species